GACAGAGGGUGCAAACGUUGUUCGGAAUUACUGGGCGUAAAGCGCGUGUAGGCGGCUCUGCAAGUCGGAUGUGAAAGCCCUGGGCUCAACCUAGGAAGUGCACUCGAAACUGCAGAGCUUGAGUCUCGGAGAGGAUCGCGGAAUUCUCGGUGUAGAGGUGAAAUUCGUAGAUAUCGAGAGGAACACCGGUGGCGAAGGCGGCCGCCUGGACGGUCACUGACGCUGAGACGCGAAAGCGUGGGUAGCAAACAGG
rnacentral:rRNA from 1 species